rnacentral:rRNA from 1 species
AGCGAACGCUGGCGGCAGGCUUAACACAUGCAAGUCGAGCGGGCAUCCUUGUGGUGUCAGCGGCAGACGGGUGAGUAACGCGUGGGAACGUGCCCUUCGGUUCGGAAUAACUCAGGGAAACUUGAGCUAAUACCGGAUACGUGCGAGAGCAGAAAGGUUUAUCUGCCGAAGGAUCGGCCCGCGUCUGAUUAGCUAGUUGGUGAGGUUAUGGCUCACCAAGGCGACGAUCAGUAGCUGGUCUGAGAGGAUGAUCAGCCACACUGGGACUGAGACACGGCCCAGACUCCUACGGGAGGCAGCAGUGGGGAAUAUUGGACAAUGGGGGCAACCCUGAUCCAGCCAUGCCGCGUGAGUGAUGACGGCCUUAGGGUUGUAAAGCUCUUUUCUCCGGGACGAUAAUGACGGUACCGGAGGAAGAAGCCCCGGCGAACGUCG